rnacentral:rRNA from 1 species
AACGAACGCUGGCGGCGUGGAUAAGACAUGCAAGUCGAACGGGAGUUUAUUUAUAGCAAUAUGAGUGAACUCUAGUGGCGAAAGGGUGCGUAACACGUAGCUACCUACCUCGAAGUUGGGGAUAGCUCGGCGAAAGCCGGAUUAAUACCGAAUGUGAUCGUGAGAUUAAAGCUGGGGAUCGUAAGACCUGGCGCUUUGAGAUGGGGCUGCGGCC